rnacentral:rRNA from 1 species
UUGCGGUUAAAAAGCUCGUAGUUGAAUCUGUGUCCCACGCUGCCGGUUCGCCGCUCGCGGUGUUUAACUGGCAUGAUUGUGGGACGUCCUACCGGUGGGCUUAGCCUCUCGGGGCGGCCCAACUAAUAUCCCAUCGCGGUGCUCUUCAUUGAGUGUCGAGGUGGGCCGGUACGUUUACUUUGAACAAAUUAGAGUGCUUAAAGCAGGCUAUUUUCGCCUGAAUACUGUGUGCAUGGAAUAAUGGAAUAGGACCUCGGUUCUAUUUUGUUGGUUUUCGGAACCCCGAGGUAAUGAUUAAUAGGGACAGAUGGGGGCAUUCGUAUUGCGACGUUAGAGGUGAAAUUCUUGGAUCGUCGCAAGACGGACAGAAGCGAAAGCAUUUGCCAAAAAUGUUUUCUUUAAUCAAGAACGAAAGUUAGAGGUUCGAAGGCGAUCAGAUACCGCCCUAGUUCUAACCAUAAACGAUGCCAGCUAGCGAUCCGCCGAAGUUCCUCCGAUGACUCGGCGGGCAGCUUCCGGGAAACCAAAGCUUUUGGGUUCCGGGGGAAGUAUGGUUGCAAAGCUGAAACUUAAAGGAAUUGACGGAAGGGCACCACCAGGAGUGGAGCCUGCGGCUUAAUUUGACUCAACACGGGAAACCUCACCAGGCCCGGACACCGGAAGGAUUGACAGAUUGAGAGCUCUUUCUUGAUUCGGUGGGUGGUGGUGCAUGGCCGUUCUUAGUUGGUGGAGCGAU